UUCAGGUUCCUCCUCACCCUGAAAAUAUUUUCAGGGAGUCAUGAAUCUCAUCUGCAAGAACAUGAAUCACCUGUGGUUCUUCCUCUUUCUGGUGGCCGCUCCUAGAUGUGUCCUGUCCCAGGUGCAACUGAAGGAGUCAGGACCUGGCCUGGUGAAGCCCUCGCAGACCCUCUCCCUCACCUGCACUGUCUCUGGAUUCUCUUUGAGCAGUUAUGCUGUAGGCUGGGUCCGCCAGGCUCCAGGAAAAGGGCUGGAAUAUGUUGGUGCUAUAUAUGGUAGUGCAAGUGCAAACUACAACCCAGCCCUGAAGUCCCGAGCCAGCAUCACCAAGGACACCUCCAAGAGCCAAGUUUAUCUGACGCUGAACAGCCUGACAGGCGAGGACACGGCCGUCUAUUACUGUGCGAAAGACACAGUGAGGGGAAGUCAGUGUGAGCCCCGACAAAAACUUCCUGCAGGGAGACAAGAGGGGCUGAGCUGCAAAGGACUCAGGACACCAGGGGGUGCUCAGGACCCACCCAGUGCAGGGCUGAGCCCAGGAGCAGGUGCAGGGAGAGGCUGGGAGGCUUUCCUGCUUAGAAUCUGUGGUUUCCUCCUCCUGCCCAGAAACUCCACCAGGGACCCUCUCCUAGGUCCUAUUGUGUCAACACUUUGUUUUACGAUUCAUUCAGAAUAUAAUAUUAAUAUUUACUAAGAAAUUAAGGUUAGA